rnacentral:rRNA from 1 species
AUUGAACGCUGGCGGCAGGCCUAACACAUGCGAGUCGAGCGGAUGAAGGGAGCUUGCUCCUGGAUUCAGCGGCGGACGGGUGAGUAAUGCCUAGGAAUCUGCCUGGUAGUGGGGGAUAACGUCCGGAAACGGGCGCUAAUACCGCAUACGUCCUGAGGGAGAAAGUGGGGGAUCUUCGGACCUCACGCUAUCAGAUGAGCCUAGGUCGGAUUAGCUAGUUGGUGGGGUAAAGGCCUACCAAGGCGACGAUCCGUAACUGGUCUGAGACGAUGAUCAGUCACACUGGAACUGAGACACGGUCCAGACUCCUACGGGAGGCAGCAGUGGGGAAUAUUGGACAAUGGGCGAAAGCCUGAUCCAGCCAUGCCGCGUGUGUGAAGAAGGUCUUCGGAUUGUAAAGCACUUUAAGUUGGGAGGAAGGGCAGUAAGUUAAUACCUUGCUGUUUUGACGUUACCAACAGAAUAAGCACCGGCUAACUUCGUG